CAAAGAUGUUAAAAUCGAAACUUAUGUUGCUAAUUUAAUUAAAACAAAAACCAAACACCCCAUUUGGGGAUGUCUGGUCGUACAAAGAAGCAGGAGGCGAUGGGUUUCUUCAAACCCUAAAAUCCUUACUAAAACUCUCAAAUUGGAGGUGCAAAUCUGGUCCAAAACGAAAAUCGAGCAUAGAUUACUGAUCCCCAUUGCAAGGGGGUUGUAAGAUGGAGGCUUGGAAUGAAGCGGGUCAAACGGAGCAAGUACGAAAAGGAAAGCGUAAUUUGGAUGCGAGGGUAAUUGGUUUAUGAAUUAGCGAGGCUAUGAAUUAGCAUAUUAUAGAGACAAGGUCUUAAAACGGGUCAAUAUGUUGACCCGAGCCAGUCUUAGGUACUCAAGGAUUAUGGGUGACGAUCAAGCAACUUUUGAAGGACCGAACACAUACCCUUGAAGCUUCCGCAUAAAUCAACUCGGUUUAAACAUUGUUUAUGAUGUAAACUGUUUGCUAAACAACUUUUGAAAUGUUUAAACGACGUACUCAAUUAUGUUAUGUUGUAUUAUUUUAAAAUUGUAAAGUUUAAACAAACCCGUAUUUUUACAAAGUAUAUGUAGUCAUAAUUACAUGUUGUUUGUCGUA